AUCCAUAAACGAUAAGAACCAACUUCGAGAUAUCUACAAUUUAGAAUUCAGAAGCAGGGAUGGAGUCAAAGAUCCGAACUUUUCUAGACUCCUUUAUGCACUGGUUAAAUACCGCAAAGCCACUGUACGAUCCGGGACGGUUCACUUGAAUCCCAAGGUGCGAAUGGUCUAUCAGGACCAGUGGAGGAGACCCCACAGACAGCAGCCUCCCGGUUCCUUGCCCG